GACGAACGCUGGCGGCGUGCUUACACAUGCAAGUCGAACGGAGUGGCGAACGGUUGAGUAACACGUGAGCAACCUACCCUUGACACUGGGAUAACAGUUGGAAACAGCUGCUAAUACCGGAUAGUCAAGGAUGGGCUCGCGGCCUAUCAGCUUGUUGGUGAGGUAACGGCUCACCAAGGCGACGACGGGUAGCCGGCCUGAGAGGGCGACCGGCCACACUGGGACUGGGCUACGGUCGAGACUCCUACGGGAGGCAGCAGUGGAGAAUAUUGCGCAAUGGGCGAAAGCCUGACGCAGCAUCGCCGCGUGCGGGAUGACGGCCUUCGGGUUGUAAACCGCUUUCAGCAGGGACGCGGUACCUGCAGAAGAAGCACCGGCUAACUACGUGCCAGCAGCCGCGGUAAUAC
rnacentral:rRNA from 1 species